CCAUUGGUUUAUAUUUAUUGUCCUGUAUAUAAUAACUGGUAAACUACAACUAAGUGACUUUUAUACAAUUCAAAGGUUUAGCAUUGUACUCUUAAUAACGAAACAUGUUUAGAUUAUUGAAGGUAACACAGAAUGAGUGACAGGAGGCUUGACAAAUGGGAAGGAAGACAGGGUCUCUGGUUGCAUCAUCACCAGCAGCUGUCCCAGCUAGCACAUUUGGUUCCUUGGAAGCUGUGGGAACGUACAUUUUAAGUAGUUAAGAUUCCUGACGGUUAAAACAAAAACGUUUUGUAUUACUUUCUGAGAAUAGAAGUGAAAACUUAGCCUGUUCUGGGCACGUUAAUAUUUAGGUUGCAGGGUUCCCCUGAAAGCCAGCCUGGGAGUUUUUUUAUUAACAUUCUGAGAAUGGAAAUUCAAGGAUAUUUUGAAGGUAAUUAAAUAACGUUCUGAGAACAUGUUUCAGUAAGACUUUUAAUAACGCUGCUAGUUUAGUUUGGGUUAACUGUUAUGAACUCCCAGCACAGAUAGGACACAUGGACAGUUAUUUUUCUGGGCAUUAAAUCAUGCAAACACAUUCCUUUUUUAUUGUGGCAUGUGAGAUUCAAACCUAUGAUCUUCUGUUCUCUAUCCAUGGAAUUAGUCCACAGCUCCACCAAGAUGGAGCUAGCAUGCCAUGUUAAAAAGAAAAACUCAAACAAACCUGUUCAUUUUAGUCUUUACAAACAGACCCUAGUUAUUUCUCAACGUUCUGUGAACGUGACUUUAAAUAGAACCGUGAAGAAACCUGUAGAAAACAUUUUUGCUGAAGUACUGAAAUUCCCACAGAAGAAUGUUAUAAAACUGUAGUAAAAAUGUAAUGGGACAGUUGUAUACUAAAUAAACAUAGUACGUUCAAGCUCUAACCAAGCUCUAAGAAACAUAUGGUUUUCAGAACGUUAUGUGCUAGCUGGGGACCUAUCAGCACGGAGACAGGGAACAUGAUUGACAUCAAGUGGGACUACCUGUGUCUGGGUGCAAGCGUUUUGCUAGCUGGGGCAUUUGCCACAUACAGAGUUUAGGUGACCCACUGGCUUGUAAAACAAGCAGACCCUCUGUCUUUGACCUCAUGUCAGGUCAGAGCCGGUUACCAGGACACCUCUGGUUAAAAGCAGGGUGUAGGGGAUAGAUUAGCCUUAUACAGCAGGGGCAAUGUGAUUGGUAACACCGACCACAAACUCGCCCAAUCAAAACACCUUUGUCUGCAGAGAGCCAAUCCAGGACUGGUUUAUGAGUUCGACAGUAGGAGUUGGUAGAAGUGGAGCUUUGGAGCCCUGCAGAAUAACAGCCCCUCUAAGACUGUAACUAGGCAUCCCCUGCACCAGGAGACAGACAGACAGGUAACAGCCCCUCUAAGACUGUAACUAGGCAUCCCCUGCACCAGGAGACAGACAGACAGGUAACAGUCCCCCUAAGACUGUAACUAGGCAUCCCCUGCACCAGGAGACAGACAGGUAACAGCCCCUCUAAGACUGUAACUAGGCAUCCCCUGCACCAGGAGACAGACAGUCAGGUAACAGCCCCUCUAAGACUGUAACUAGGCAUCCCCUGCACCAGGAGACAGACAGACAGGUAACAGCCCCUCUAAGACUGUAACUAGGCAUCCCCUGCACCAGGAGACAGACAGACAGGUAACAGUCCCUCUAAGUAACCCUGUGUAAGAGCAUUAUACAUCAAGGGAUUGAAAACCCGGUCCCCAUAGCAACAAGCUAUUAAAGGAAGCAGAAGUUUUCAUGACAAAAAAAAGGAUUUGGGUUAAAACAAUUGACGUUCUGUUUGUUCAUAGAUGAAAACGUGUUCAUAUGCAGCAAUUCUAUCUCCCAUUAAAUAUUAAGAUCUCAACAACACGGUUCUUCAAAGUGUUUUUAAAAACAUUCGAUGAGACAAAAAAACAAAUAAAUAAUCAAAUAAAUAAACAAAUAAAUAACAUAAGAAAUAGAUAAAUAAUUGGAAUAAAUAACUGAACAAAUAGCUGUGGAUAAAAGAUAGACCCACAUGAUCGCAUGGAUGCUUUUGCAGAAAAUAUCUUUAGAAAGAGCAUCUUUCCAGAGCGACUUCACAUCACUGGUCAUUGAGCAAGAGGUCUGGACAUAAUAAAUAGUGGAAUAAGGAAGAGAGGAAAAAGUACAUGAUAAUCAAACAUCUGUCCCUUGUUUUUUUUUUGCCUCAGUGUGUGAUUACAGGUCAGGAAUGUCAGGGCCAUGUUCGGUAACAAAAUGUUCUCGAUCGUUUCAGAUAUAAAUACCACAAAUAGGGCCGACGUGAUUCCUUAUUCUACAUCUCAGAGAUCCAUGUUUGUUCUACAUAGCAUACUUCUAUCUGAAUGUGCCCCAAGUCAGAAUAGGGGCAGGGACAGAUGCACCCUGGGACCUGUAGUCCUAUAAUGGCAGGGGGAGGGACAGAUGCACCCUGGGACCUGUAGUCCUGUAGUGGCAGGGGCAGGGACAGAUGCACCCUGGGACCUGUAGCCAUGUAGUGGCAGGGGCAGGGACAGAUGCACCCUGGGACCUGUAGUCCUGUAAUGGCAGGGGCAGGGACAGAUGCACCCUGGGACCUGUAGUCCUGUAGUGGCAGGGGCAGGGACAGAUGCACCCUGGGACCUGUAGUCCUGUAAUAGCAGGUGCAGGGACUGAUGCACCCUGGGACCUGUAGUCCUGUGGUGGCAGGGGCAGGGACAGAUGCACCCUGGGACCUGUAGUCCUGUAGUGGCAGGGGCAGGGACAGAUGCACCCUGGGACCUGUAGUCCUGUAGUCGCAGGCAGCUCUCUGGUACAAGCAGCAGUCUUCCUCCUUUCUGUUGCAUCAUCAUGCGAAGUCACCAUCAAAUAACAAGCCUCUUCCAAAAAAAAUCACAUAGAAUAUACAGUGCAUAGUUUACAAGCCAGAACUUACAGUUUAGAAUCAUCUAUACAUCCUGAUAUAUCAGUUCCCUUCUGCAUGCUAAAUCAUCAGCCAUCUUUUCUUUUGUUCUUUAUCGCAUCUGUUUUGAUCUCUCUGGUUCCUAAGCAUAAGUGUCUUUGGGGAAAUUACGUCAUGACAUUGGAGGAAGAAUUUCCCAGUGCUGUUUGAUUUGAUUUGAUUUCUUUCACUUGUAUCUCUUCUUUUCAUCUUCUUUGACAAACUCCGUGGAAGUGUCCCAAUGCUGGAACAUUUUUUUUUUUUUUGGGGGGUUUACUUUUGCUAUGCAGAAACAUAUAGAGAAAGUGCUUACAGAAUAGUUCUUUAUCAAUUAUUUUCUAAAAGCAUGAUCUGAAAAAUGUUAUUUUAAAUUGUGCCUGUGUGAAGACAAAUGGAUAUUUCAGAUCCAGGCUCUGGUUAACGCUGGUAUUCAGAGAUGGAGACUGAGGAUGGUAGAAAAAACAGAGAAGGUCUGACCCUGUGUUUGGACCAAUCAGGGACGCAUAACAUGAUUUAUCUCCCUCCCCCUCUCUCUCCCUCAAUCUCUCCUGCUGUUCUCCCCCAUCUAUCUCUCUCUCUCUCCCCCCCCAACUCCCCCUCUCUCUGUCUCUCUCUCAUCAGAAGCCGGGGCUUUCAUAGCUGCUGCGACUGUAGUUGCUGUGGCUCCUGGGGCUGCGUGAGCGGCUGUGGCUCCUGGGGCUGCGUGAGCGGCUGUGGCUCCUGGUGUGGCUGUGACUGCAGCUGUAGCUGCGGCUGCGACUCCUCCCUGAAUGGGAGGGGCUUGACAUGGAACUGGAGGAGGAAGGGCUGGGGCGGUAGUACGGGAUAGGCCGCUUCCGAGCGCUGAGGAGAGGAGAGGGUAGGAGAUUAGACAGUACAUAAAGCUCUUGUAGGAGUUAGUUAGUGUGAGGAGGACCAGCACAUUGACAGCUGACCAGAGAGCGUGUUUUCUUGUCUCGGUUACAGUAUGGUCCAGUAGGAAUGCUUUACGUUUUGCAACAUAAUCCAUUUUUGAAAUACUCUCAGAAUUUAAAUAUCAAAUGUAUUUAAAAAAAUAUAUGUAUAAAUAA
ensembl:lncRNA